rnacentral:rRNA from 1 species
UACGAAGGGGGCUAGCGUUGCUCGGAAUCACUGGGCGUAAAGGGUGCGUAGGCGGGUCUUUAAGUCAGGGGUGAAAUCCUGGAGCUCAACUCCAGAACUGCCUUUGAUACUGAAGAUCUUGAGUUCGGGAGAGGUGAGUGGAACUGCGAGUGUAGAGGUGAAAUUCGUAGAUAUUCGCAAGAACACCGGUGGCGAAGGCGGUGAGCUGGGCAGUUGCUGACACUGAGGCGCGACAGCGUGGGGAGCAAACAGG